rnacentral:rRNA from 1 species
CUACGUGCCAGCAGCCGCGGUAAUACGUAGGUCCCGAGCGUUGUCCGGAUUUAUUGGGCGUAAAGCGAGCGCAGACGGUUAGAUAAGUCUGAAGUUAAAGGCUGUGGCUUAACCAUAGUACGCUUUGGAAACUGUUUAACUUGAGUGCAAGAGGGGAGAGUGGAAUUCCAUGUGUAGCGGUGAAAUGCGUAGAUAUAUGGAGGAACACCGGUGGCGAAAGCGGCUCUCUGGCUUGUAACUGACGCUGAGGCUCGAAAGCGUGGGGAGCGAACAGGAUUAGAUACCCUGGUAGUCCACGCUGUAAACGUUGGGCACUAGGUGUGAGGCUCCUUUCCGGGGGUUUUGCGCCGUAGCUAACGCAUUAAGUGCCCCGCCUGGGGAGUACGGCCGCAAGGUUGAAACUCAAAGGAAUUGACGGGGGCCCGCACAAGCGGUGGAGCAUGUGGUUUAAUUCGAUGCAACGCGAAGAACCUUACCUACUCUUGACAUCCAGAGAACAUUC